rnacentral:rRNA from 1 species
AGGUAAGCUACUAAGAGCGAAUGGUGGAUGCCUUGACUGGUAAAGGCGAUGAAGGACGUACUAGACUGCGAUAAGCUACGGGGAGCUGUCAAGAAGCUUUGAUCCGUAGAUUUCCGAAUGGGGCAACCCAAUGUAUAGAGAUAUACAUUACCUAUAUAGGAGCGAACGAGGGGAAUUGAAACAUCUUAGUACCCUCAGGAAAAGAAAUCAAUAGAGAUUGCGUCAGUAGCGGCGAGCGAAAGCGCAAGAGGGCAAACCCAGUGCUUGCACUGGGGGUUGUAGGACUGCAAUGUGCAAGAGGUGAGUUUAGCAGAACAUUCUGGAAAGUAUAGCCAUAGAGGGUGAUAGUCCCGUAUGCGAAAAACAAACCUUAGCUAGCAGUAUCCUGAGUAGGGCGGGACACGAGAAAUCCUGUCUGAAGCUGGGUCGACCACGAUCCAACCCUAAAUACUAAUACCAGAUCGAUAGUGCACAAGUACCGUGAGGGAAAGGUGAAAAGAACUGAGGUGAUCAGAGUGAAAUAGAACCUGAAACCAUUUGCUUACAAUCAUUCAGAGCCCUAUGUAGCAAUACAGGGUGAUGGACUGCCUUUUGCAUAAUGAGCCUGCGAGUUGUGGUGUCUGGCAAGGUUAAGCAAACGCGAAGCCGUAGCGAAAGCGAGUCUGAAUAGGGCGCUUAGUCAGAUGCUGCAGACCCGAAACGAAGUGAUCUAUCCAUGAGCAAGUUGAAGCUAGUGUAAGAACUAGUGGAGGACUGAACCCAUAGGCGUUGAAAAGCCCCGGGAUGACUUGUGGAUAGGGGUGAAAGGCCAAUCAAACUUCGUGAUAGCUGGUUCUCUCCGAAAUAUAUUUAGGUAUAGCGUUGUGUCGUAAUAUAAGGGGGUAGAGCACUGAAUGGGCUAGGGCAUACACCAAUGUACCAAACCCUAUCAAACUCCGAAUACCUUAUAUGUAAUCACAGCAGUCAGGCGGCGAGUGAUAAAAUCCGUCGUCAAGAGGGAAACAACCCAGACUACCAGCUAAGGUCCCUAAAUCUUACUUAAGUGGAAAACGAUGUGAAGUUACUUAAACAACCAGGAGGUUGGCUUAGAAGCAGCCAUCCUUUAAAGAAAGCGUAAUAGCUCACUGGUCUAGUGAUUUUGCGCGGAAAAUAUAACGGGGCUAAAGUAAGUACCGAAGCUGUAGACUUGCACACAACUUAGAUUAUUUAAGUUUAGAAUAUGAGAAACUAAGUUAUAUGUUUAGUUAUAUUUUUACUGAUUUUUAUAGAGUAAAGAUAGAAAUAAAACUUAGUAAAAUCAGUAAAAAUAUUCUUAGACUAAAGUUAAGUAGUUUAAGUUGUGUGCAAGUGGUAGGAG